CUACGGGGGGCAGCAGUGAGGAAUUUUGCGCAAUGGGGGGAACCCUGACGCAGCAACGCCGCGUGAGUGAAGAAGGCCUUUGGGUCGUAAAGCUCUGUCAACUGGGAAGAAAUUAGAGUUGUUUAACAGAUGAUUCUAUUGACGGUACCAGUGGAGGAAGCGCCGGCUAACUCCGUGCCAGCAGCCGCGGUAACACGGGGGGCGCAAGCGUUAUUCGGAAUUAUUGGGCGUAAAGGGCGCGCAGGCGGUCUUGUCGGUCAGGUGUGAAAGCCCGGGGCUCAACCCUGGAAGUGCACUUGGAACAGCAAGACUUGAGUACGGGAGAGGAAAGCGGAAUUCCUGGUGUAGAGGUGAAAUUCGUAGAUAUCAGGAGGAACACCGAUGGCGAAGGCAGCUUUCUGGACCGAUACUGACGCUGAGGCGCGAAGGCGUGGGUAGCGAACGGGAUUAGAUACCCCCGUAGUC
rnacentral:rRNA from 1 species